GUCGCUUCGCCUCGCCCUUCCCCUUCGCGGAGCUGAGACCCGCGGCACCAGAACCCAGGAGACAGGGGAGACGGCAGAGACUCCAAAGGCGCGGGGCGAUCCCAGCUGGGUUCUCCCCACAGGGAUGCCGAUCCCGCUGGAGACACAGGGCCGAGCCGGGGACGGGUGGAUGGGCGCCUUGACGCUUAGGAGGGCGAGCCGAGCACCAGCACUCUUGCUUUUCGGUCCUUUCCCCCGCCGAGGUCGGGGUCGAAGCAGCCGCCGCCGGAGGAUGGGCGCCCGGCGCACGGAGCAGAGUCAGGAGGGAGCAGAAGCUUCCGCCAAGAGCUCAGGAGCUGGGACAGCCCUGGAGCUCUUCCUGCCCUUCUGCCUGCGGCGGCGGAAGCUCCAGAGUCCCUACUCUUUCUCGGGAGGACUUUAGGGAAGAAGCAGAGGGACAGGGGAAGCCGAGGAGCGAGGGUGCGACGUGGGAAUGGAAGGACAGUGGGAGGCACACGGAAAAACAGAACGGGGACCUUAGACAGGAGAGACGGAAGUGGAGAGAGGCUGGGCUGAAAGGCAGGGAGAGCCAGAGACUGACAGAGGCGGCGAGAAAGGAAGGGAGAGGGAGGGAGGGAGGAGGGAGGAGGGAGGAGAAAGAGGGAGGGAACCAGGAGAGAGGGAAGAGAGCAGGCGGCGGAGCCGGGCGGGCAUGGGGCGAGGCCAGGCGUGCAGGCGGGAGCAGCGUGCAGAGCAGCGGCCGGGUUGUGCUCCCGCCUCGGAGCCCCCGGCCCGGGGGAGAGGGAGAGGCCGCUAGCCUGGUCUAUGUCUUUUUCUGACUCCAGUGCAACCUUCCUGCUGAACGAGGCCCCUGAAAGACAGAGGGAAUUGAAGAGAAAGGAUGAAAGAGGGGGAUACUAGGAAUACUGCGUAACUGGGUGAGGGCACAAAAGUGGGCAGUGUCUGGGAACUUCCAAUACAGAAGAAUCCAGUAUAUGACCAAACCCCAGUUGGUGCUGGACUCAGGAGAGGAGACGGUCCCUUCAGCCACAGGGGCUGCAACAAAGUUGCUUGUCAAACCCAGCAUGAGGAAGGUGCUGGGCAAGGCUGCUCUGGGCCACCCACAGUAGACGGACUAAAGAUGUCAGUCUGAAGAUGCAGCUCUUCUUUGUCUUGCCAAGAUAACACCGAUAAGUGACCCAGGGUUCAGCCGACUCCUAUACCAGCCGCCCAUCUCUGGACUCAGACGUCUCCCUGGAGGAGGACCGGGAGAGUGCCCGGCGUGAAGUAGAGAGCCAGGCUCAGCAGCAGCUCGAAAGGGCCAAGCACAAACCUGUGGCAUUUGCGGUGAGGACCAAUGUCAGCUACUGUGGCGUACUGGAUGAGGAGUGCCCAGUCCAGGGCUCUGGAGUCAACUUUGAGGCCAAAGAUUUUCUGCACAUUAAAGAGAAGUACAGCAAUGACUGGUGGAUCGGGCGGCUAGUGAAAGAGGGCGGGGACAUCGCCUUCAUCCCCAGCCCCCAGCGCCUGGAGAGCAUCCGGCUCAAACAGGAGCAGAAGGCCAGGAGAUCUGGGAACCCUUCCAGCCUGAGUGACAUUGGCAACCGACGCUCGCCUCCACCAUCUCUAGGUAGCCUCCCCCCAACCCACCCAUUUUGGGUAGGUGGGUAGCUAAGACACAGGGAAAGGGGGGAUCCUGCCCAAGUGAACUGUGUGGGAAGGGUUUGUGGAGGGAUCAGAAGGGGUGGGGAGAAGCCAGUAUCUCCCCUGGGGACGGGGAUACCAUGCCCCCAGGGACCUUUCCCCCUUCACCAACUUUAAUCUUAUAUUUCCUUUUCCAAAAAGCCAAGCAGAAGCAAAAGCAGGUGAGUCAAGGAAGGGACCUGGGCUGGGGGGAUCAUGGCUUAUGACUCUGGGGACAGUGUUCUAGGCAGUCAUUGUUGGAGGGUAGAACAGAGAGGGGAGGGAGCCCAGAACCUCUGGAUCUGCCCUGACGCCAACCAGGCAUGAGACAGGCACCAGGGCCAUGGUUUCUACUGACCUCAUGUCCAUUCUGCAGGCGGAACAUGUUCCCCCAUACGACGUGGUGCCCUCUAUGCGGCCUGUGGUGCUGGUGGGACCCUCUCUGAAAGGUUACGAGGUCACAGACAUGAUGCAGAAGGCUCUCUUCGACUUCCUCAAACACAGAUUUGAUGGCAGGAUCUCCAUCACCCGAGUCACAGCCGACCUCUCCCUGGCAAAGCGAUCUGUGCUCAACAAUCCUGGCAAGAGGACCAUCAUUGAGCGCUCCUCUGCCCGCUCCAGCAUUGCGGAAGUGCAGAGUGAGAUCGAGCGCAUAUUUGAGCUGGCCAAAUCCCUGCAGCUAGUAGUGUUGGACGCUGACACCAUCAACCACCCAGCACAGCUGGCCAAGACCUCGCUGGCCCCCAUCAUCGUCUUUGUCAAAGUGUCCUCACCAAAGGUACUCCAGCGUCUCAUUCGCUCCCGGGGGAAGUCACAGAUGAAGCACCUGACCGUACAGAUGAUGGCAUAUGAUAAGCUGGUUCAGUGCCCACCGGAGUCAUUUGAUGUGAUUCUGGAUGAGAACCAGCUGGAGGAUGCCUGUGAGCACCUGGCUGAGUACCUGGAGGUUUACUGGCGGGCCACGCACCACCCAGCUCCUGGCCCCGGACUUCUGGGUCCUCCCAGUGCCAUCCCCGGACUUCAGAACCAGCAGCUGCUGGGGGAGCGUGGCGAGGAGCACUCCCCCCUCGAGCGGGACAGCUUGAUGCCCUCUGAUGAGGCCAGCGAGAGCUCCCGCCAAGCCUGGACAGGAUCUUCACAGCGUAGCUCCCGCCACCUGGAGGAGGACUAUGCAGAUGCCUACCAGGACCUGUACCAGCCUCACCGCCAACACACCUCGGGGCUGCCUAGUGCUAACGGGCAUGACCCCCAAGACCGGCUUCUAGCCCAGGACUCGGAGCACAACCACAAUGACCGGAACUGGCAGCGCAACCGGCCUUGGCCCAAGGAUAGCUACUGACAGCCUCCUGCUGCCCUACCCUGGCAGGCACAGGCGCAGCUGGCUGGGGGGCCCACUCCAGGCAGGGUGGCAUUAGACUGGCAUUAGGCUGGCACUAGGCUCAGCCCCCAAAACCCCCUGCCCAGCCCCAGCUUCAGGGCUGCCUGUGGUCCCAAGGUUCUGGGAGAAACAGGGGGCCCCCUCACCUCCUGGGCAGUGACCCCUACUAGGCUCCCAUUCCAGGUACUAGCUGUGUGUUCUGCACCCCUGGCACCUUCCUCUCCUCCCACACAGGAAGCUGCCCCACUGGGCAGUGCCCUCAGGCCAGGAUCCCCUUAGCAGGGUCCUUCCCACCAGACUCAGGGAAGGGAUGCCCCAUUAAAGUGGCAAAAAGGUGGGGUGUGGGCACCAUGGCAUGAGGAAGAAACAAGGUCCCUGAGCAGGCACAAGUCCUGACAAUCAAGGGACUGCUUUGGCAUCCAGGGCCUCCAGUCACCUCACUGCCACACAUUAGAAAUGAGACAAUCAUAGCCCCCCAGGGUGGCACACCCAUCCAUUUGCUGGGGUGUGGCAGCCACAUCCAAGACUGGAGCAGCAGGCUGGCCACACUCGGGCCAGAGAGAGCUCACAGCCGAAGCUCUUGGAGGGAAGGGCUCUCCUCACCCUGCCAAGAAGCUUCUUAACAUGUGACAGGACCAGGGACCAGGAGCAUGGUGAAGCCAAGUGGCAGACGGGAGCCAACCUGGAUGGGGGUUUGGGGAAGGAAGGCGUGUGUAGCAGAGAACUUAGGGGGGCCUCUUUGCCUUUCUCAUUCUUUUGCCCUGCAUCCUGUCAUUUCUGUUCUUGUCCCUCAUACAUCCUGGGAGAACCGGGCUCCAGACUUUGUUCCCUGACUCAUAGCUGCCGCUUGUUAGGUUAGGGUUAGAUGGGGAGAGACAGGGCACAGAGGACCUGUUUCCCCGGCUACUCUUGCCUUAUGGCUCUAGUGUGUGACCUACAGAGCAUGCUCCACAAGCCCCUGCCUCACCUCACUGUCAUCACUAAUAAACAUCAUGCACAGUC
rnacentral:sRNA from 1 species